rnacentral:rRNA from 1 species
CCUGGCGGCAAUAGCGCGGUGGUCCCACCUGACCCCAUGCCGAACUCAGAAGUGAAACGCCGUAGCGCCGAUGGUAGUGUGGGGUCUCC